rnacentral:lncRNA from 1 species
GAAUUAGUUAAUUUUUCUAUAGAUUGAGUUGAAGAGUUGUUGGACUUUAAACUUAGAUUUGCAGAUUUGAAUAUUCAAAGCAAUUGAACAUCUGGCAAACUCAGCUUUCUCUUGUACCUUGCUUCAAACUUACGUAUCUUUCACACUGUGCACUGAAUCAGGUAAGAUAAAGGAAAUACUGUAUAUGUUGCAAUAUUCAAUUUUGAACAAAGUCAAAUAUUUCACACU